rnacentral:rRNA from 1 species
ACGGGUGAGUAACACGUGGGCUAUCUACCCCGAGGUGAGGAAUACCAGCGAGAAAUCGCUGACAAUACCGCAUACGCUUCGUAAGAAGCAAAGUCUGCAAAGACGCCUCAGGAUGAGCCUGCGCUCGAUUAGUUGGUUGGUGGGGUAAUGGCCUACCAAGACUGCGAUCGAUAGCUGGUCUGAGAGGACGAUCAGCCACACUGGGAUUGAGAACGGCCCAGACUCCUACGGGGGGCAGCAGUGAGGAAUUUUCGUCAAUGGGGGCAACCCUGAACGAGCAACGCCGCGUGCAGGAAGAAGGUUUUCGGAUCGUAAACUGCUUUUCUCUGGGACGAGAACGGACGGUACCAGAGGAAUCAGCCUCGGCUAACUACGUGCCAGCAGCCGCGGUAAUACGUAGGAGGCGAGCGUUGUCCGGAGUUACUGGGCGUAAAGCGCACGCAGGCGGUCAGACAGUCUGGAGUGACAGUCGUCGGCUUAACCGACGAAGUGUUCUGGAAACUGUCUGACUUGAGGGCUUCAGAGGGACACGGAAUUCCGGGUGGAGUGGUGAAAUGCGUAGA